AGUAUCAGCUGAUUACUGCUGAGUAUGAUACAUGCAGGACCUCCCCCUCCAGUCAUGUGAUCAUGGGAGCAUUAGACUUUGUGUUUCCUCUGUGUUGAACACUUUGACUCCAUCCUUCAUCUGGACGGAGGCUCAUCAUGCUGAUCUCACUCAUUUAUCUCUCACUUCUUUUACACUCAGGACUCACUGUUGUAGUUCUUCAGUCUGGAGAUCAGAUAUCUGACCCUGGACUCACAGUGAAGCUGCAGUGCAGCAUGGGUCCAGGGUUCAACAUGAUGAGCUACACCAUGUUCUGGUACCGACAACACCACUACGGAGCUCCAGUGGAAUAUCUCAUCAGAGAACAUGAGCAAACAUCCGGGCACUUUCAGUCCUCUAUCGACAAAUCCAAAAACAGCUUCACUCUUGAAAUCAGUGAGCUGCUUCUCAAUGACAGCAGCACCUACUACUGUGCUGCCAGUCACAGUGAUGCACACAGAGCAGACCGUCAUACAAAUAACAAGACUGACUGUCACAGAUGGCACACAGGCAGGAAGGAGCUGUGGCUCCACUGGUUUGGCUCUUAACAAACAGUGAGGAGAGAAUAUAAAAGAGGCUUCAUGUUGGAGACAAGAAAUGAAAUAAAACUCAAAUUCUGGUUAAAUUCACCAGAUACAGUUUCAGUUUUCACAGCUUCGGUUGUCGUUUCUCAUGUUCGUUAAGUGCAAAGAAGCAGAAUCAGUCAGAUCAGCUGUGUGCAGAGGAAGAAGGUGGGGAAGAGGAGGUGUGACGUAGAAGGGAAGGUAGUCAUCGCUCAUUUGUAAUGAGUCUGUCAGAGCAGAGGACCAUGUGAAUGCUCCACCUCUGAUACUAGAUAUCAGUACAUGUUUUAUCUGUACAUUUGAUAUGAAAGUAAUCAGUGUAUUUUGGUUAUUUGUCACUGUUGCACAGCUUUAACUUCAGUUUCCAGGAUGUCUCCAGCUUUCUACACAUGUGGAUUUUUACUGCUCGUGCUCACAAGAAAAGUGUCGAGUGUUGAAUUUAAACAGCCCUCUUCUAAAGUUGUGGUUGAAGGGACGAAGGAGCUCGACAUUACCUGCAGUCAUGAUGACAGCAGCCUCCAAGUGA